GACGAACGCUGGCGGCGUGCCUAAUACAUGCAAGUAGAACGCUGAAGGAGGAGCUUGCUUCUCCGGACGAGUUGCGAACGGGUGAGUAACGCGUAGGUAACCUGCCUGGUAGCGGGGGAUAACUAUGGGAAACGAUAGCUAAUACCGCAUAAGAGUAGAUGUUGCAUGACAUUUGCUUAAAAGGUGCAAUUGCAUCACUACCAGAUGGACCUGCGUUGUAUUAGCUAGUUGGUGGGGUAACGGCUAACCAAGGCGACGAUACAUAGCCGACCUGAGAGGGGGAUCGGCCACACUGGGACUGGGAGGCGGCCCAGACGCCUACGGGAGGCAGCAGUAGGGAACCUUGGGAAACAGAAGGAAGGCAGACCGAGCAACGCCGCGUGAGUGAAGAAGGUUUUCGGGUCGUAAAGCUCUAUUGUAAGGGAAGAACGAGUGUGAGAGUGGAAGGUGCACACUGUGACGGUAUCUGACCAGGAAGGGACGGCUAACUACGUG
rnacentral:rRNA from 1 species